CCUGUUUUACAAAAACAUCGCCUCUUGCAAAAUCAAAGAAUAAGAGGUCCCGCCUGCCCUGUGACUUUUAAUGUUUAACGGCCGCGGUAUCUUGACCGUGCGAAGGUAGCGUAAUCACUUGUCUCUUAAAUGGGGACCCGUAUGAAUGGCAUAACGAGGGCUUAGCUGUCUCCUUUCUCUGGUCAAUGAAAUUGAUCUCCCCGUGCAGAAGCGGGGAUAAUAACAUAAGACGAGAAGACCCUAUGGAGCUUUAGACACAAGACAGACUAUGUUAAACACCCUCAAACAAGAGACUAAACCCCCAUGGCCCCUGUCCUAAUGUCUUCGGUUGGGGCGACCACGAGGAAAAAGAACCCGCGUGCGGACUGGGGGCAUACCCCCCUACUACCAAGAGCUCCCGCUCUAAUGACCAGAACAUCUGACCAAACAGAUCCGGCAUGGCCGAUCAACGGACCGAGUUACCCUAGGGAUAACAGCGCAAUCCCCUCCUAGAGCCCAUAUCGACGAGGGGGUUUACGACCUCGAUGUUGGAUCAGGACAUCCUAAUGGUGCAGCCGCUAU
rnacentral:rRNA from 1 species